rnacentral:sRNA from 1 species
AUAUCUCUCUGUACGGGAAGGAUGAGAAGCUUCGACUAAGGUUCGAUUCGAGCGCAGCGAGAAAGCGUUGCCGCAGGCAACGACCCGAAGGGCGAAGCGCGCAGCGCUGAAUCAUCCUUCCCCCACCACCA